GAAGGGGGCUAGAGUGGUUCGGAUUUACUGGGCGUAAAGAGCGCGCAGGCGGCUGGUCAAGUCCGAUGUGAAAUCUCCCGGCUUAACUGGGAAACUGCAUCGGAAACUGAGCGGCUUGAAGGUGGGAGAGGGUAGUGGAAUUCCCGGUGUAGUGGUGAAAUGCGUAGAUAUCGGGAGGAACACCAGUGGCGAAGGCGACUACCUGGCCCAUUCUUGACGCUGAGGCGCGAAAGCUAGGGGAGCGAAC
rnacentral:rRNA from 1 species